rnacentral:rRNA from 1 species
CCUACGGGAGGCCGCAGUGGGGAAUAUUGCACAAUGGGGGAAACCCUGAUGCAGCGACGCCGCGUGAGUGAAGAAGUAUUUCGGUAUGUAAAGCUCUAUCAGCAGGGAAGAAAAUGACGGUACCUGAUUAAGAAGCCCCGGCUAACUACGUGCCAGCAGCCGCGGUAAUACGUAGGGGGCAAGCGUUAUCCGGAUUUACUGGGUGUAAAGGGAGCGUAGACGGCAGCACAAGUCUGGAGUGAAAUGCCGGGGCUUAACCCCGGAACUGCUUUGGAAACUGUGCAGCUAGAGUGCAGGAGAGGUAAGUGGAAUUCCUAGUGUAGCGGUGAAAUGCAUAGAUAUUAGGAGGAACACCAGUGGCGAAGGCGGCUUACUGGACUGCAACUGACGUUGAGGCUCGAAAGCGUGGGGAGCGAACAGGAUUAGAUACCCGAGUAGUC